rnacentral:tRNA from 4 species
ACUCUUUUAGUAUAAAUAGUACUAUUGACUUCCAAUCAAUAAGUCUCAGUAAGUCUGUGAAAGAGUA